AUUGAACGCUGGCGGCAUGCUUUACACAUGCAAGUCGAACGGCAGCGCGGGCUUCGGCCUGGCGGCGAGUGGCGAACGGGUGAGUAAUAUAUCGGAACGUACCCAAGAGUGGGGGAUAACGUAGCGAAAGUUACGCUAAUACCGCAUACGAUCUAAGGAUGAAAGCAGGGGAUCGCAAGACCUUGUGCUCCUGGAGCGGCCGAUAUCUGAUUAGCUAGUUGGUGGGGUAAAGGCCCACCAAGGCAACGAUCAGUAGCUGGUCUGAGAGGACGACCAGCCACACUGGAACUGAGACACGGUCCAGACUCCUACGGAGGCAGCAGUGGGGAAUUUUGGGACAAUGGGGGCAACCCUGAUCCAGCAAUGCCGCGUGAGUGAAGAAGGCCUUCGGUUGUAAGACUCUUUGUCUAGGAGAAAGGUACGUGGCGUAAUAUCCACGACUAGCUGACGGUACC
rnacentral:rRNA from 1 species